rnacentral:lncRNA from 1 species
UGGCUUCAAGGUUACUUCGCGGAGUAGGCGCUUUGGCGGCUCAGGCCCUGAGGGCCCACGGACCCCGUGGCGUGGCCGCUACCCGCUCCAUGGCUUCUGGAGGUGGUGUCCCUACUGAUGAGGAGCAGGCUACCGGGCUGGAGAGGGAGAUCAUGAUAGCAGCACAGAGGGGACUGGUGAGAAGCUCUGUGUCCUCUGGAGACCUUGGGCCUGGAUGGGAUCAGAGGAGUCUCCUUUCAGCCAGCUUUUGGUCCUGACAACUCAGCUUGUAGAACAGCCCCCUUGCAGUGCAGUGGCAGGGGUUAUCUGUCACAACAGUCAUCACUUGUCUCUUUCAGGAUCCAUACAAUAUGCUACCUCCAAAGGCAGCUUCGGGCACCAAGGAAGACCCCAAUCUAGUCCCAUCCGUUAGCAACAAGAGAAUAGUGGGCUGCAUCUGUAAGUACCUUGUUUUUAUUUUUAUUUUAAAGAUUUAUUUAUUUAUUAUAUAUAAGUACACAGUAGCUGUCUUCAGACACACCAAAAGAGGACAUCAGAUCCCAUUACAGGUGGUUGUGAGCCACCAUGUGGUUGCUGGGAUUUGAACUCAGGACCUCUGGAAGAGCAGUCAGUGCUCUUAACCACUGAGCCAUCUCUCCAGCCCACUACCUUGUUUUUAUUUUCUGGCCCAUUUUGUUUAUAACCUGCUACACAGAACAUCUAUAAAUUGCUUCAGAUAUGUGUGUGUGACUGACUAUA